UACGGAGGGUGCAAGCGUUAAUCGGAAUUACUGGGCGUAAAGCGCGCGUAGGUGGUUUGAUAAGCGAGAUGUGAAAGCCCCGGGCUUAACCUGGGAACGGCAUUUCGAACUGUAGGCUAGAGUAUGGUAGAGGUAGUGGAAUUUCCUGUGUAGCGGUGAAAUGCGUAGAUAUAGGAAGGAACACCAGUGGCGAAGGCGGCUAUCCAGACCAAUACUGACACUGAGGUGCGAAAGCGUGGGGAGCAAACAGGGAUUAGA
rnacentral:rRNA from 1 species